AUUGGUUGUAGCUCUGGGAGGUCGCGGUUCUUUUGAAGAUUCUGAUGAUAAUAAUGUUGCGGUAGUGGUAAUAAUAAAAUUGCGGUAAUGAGAGGUCAUGGUUCUUUUAAAGCUUUGCGAUGGUAACAAUGAACUCACACUAGAUAAUGCAGGGAAUUUUUUCAAUGAUAACCCGACUUCCGAUAAGUCAAAGGUGGCGAUGAUUGUUAUCACAUUCGAGAGAGGAUCAUGUAAAUACUACAUAUCGGCUCAUGGGUUGGACCUAUGG